CUUAUCGGUACUCCGAAUGCAUCCAGAUUAUUUAUUUGAUCAUGGCUCAGAUUGAACCGCUGGCGGCAGGCCUAACACAUGCAAGUCGAGCGGAUGACGGGAGCUUGCUCCUUGAUUCAGCGGCGGACGGGUGAGUAAUGCCUAGGAAUCUGCCUGGUAGUGGGGGACAACGUUUCGAAAGGAACGCUAAUACCGCAUACGUCCUACGGGAGAAAGCAGGGGACCUUCGGUGCCUUGCGCUAUCAGAUGAGCCUAGGUCUGGAUUAGCUAGUUGGUGGGUGUAAUUGGCUCACCAAGGCGACGAUCCGUAACUGGUCUGAGAGUGAUUGCAUCAGUCACAACUUGUGCAACCUUGAGGA
rnacentral:rRNA from 1 species